rnacentral:rRNA from 1 species
CGAACGGUGAACACGGAGCUUGCUCUGUGGGAUCAGUGGCGAACGGGUGAGUAACACGUGAGCAACCUGCCCCUGACUCUGGGAUAAGCGCUGGAAACGGCGUCUAAUACUGGAUAUGUGACGUGACCGCAUGGUCUGCGUCUGGAAAGAAUUUCGGUUGGGGAUGGGCUCGCGGCCUAUCAGCUUGUUGGUGAGGUAAUGGCUCACCAAGGCGUCGACGGGUAGCCGGCCUGAGRGGGUGACCGGCCACACUGGGACUGAGACACGGCCCAGACUCCUACGGGAGGCAGCAGUGGGGAAUAUUGCACAAUGGGCGCAAGCCUGAUGCAGCAACGCCGCGUGAGGGACGACGGCCUUCGGGUUGUAAACCUCUUUUAGCAGGGAAGAAGCGAAAGUGACGGUACCUGCAGAAAAAGCGCCGGCUAACUACGUGCCAGCAGCCGCGGUAAUACGUAGGGCGCAAGCGUUAUCCGGAAUUAUUGGGCGUAAAGAGCUCGUAGGCGGUUUGUCGCGUCUGCUGUGAAAUCCGGAGGCUCAACCUCCGGCCUGCAGUGGGUACGGGCAGACUAGAGUGCGGUAGGGGAGAUUGGAAUUCCUGGUGUAGCGGUGGAAUGCGCAGAUAUCAGGAGGAACACCGAUGGCGAAGGCAGAUCUCUGGGCCGUAACUGACGCUGAGGAGCGAAAGGGUGGGGAGCAAACAGGCUUAGAUACCCUGGUAGUCCACCCCGUAAACGUUGGGAACUAGUUGUGGGGUCCAUUCCACGGAUUCCGUGACGCAGCUAACGCAUUAAGUUCCCCGCCUGGGGAGUACGGCCGCAAGGCUA